rnacentral:rRNA from 1 species
AUUGAACGCUGGCGGCAUGCCUUACACAUGCAAGUCGAACGGUAACGCGGGGCAACCUGGCGACGAGUGGCGAACGGGUGAGUAAUGCAUCGGAACGUGCCUGGUAGUGGGGGAUAACUGCUCGAAAGAGCAGCUAAUACCGCAUACGACCUGAGGGUGAAAGGGGGGGAUCGCAAGACCUCUCGCUAUCAGAGCGGCCGAUGUCGGAUUAGCUAGUUGGUGGGGUAAAGGCCCACCAAGGCGACGAUCCGUAGCUGGUCUGAGAGGACGACCAGCCACACUGGGACUGAGACACGGCCCAGACUCCUACGGGAGGCAGCAGUGGGGAAUUUUGGACAAUGGACGCAAGUCUGAUCCAGCCAUGCCGCGUGCGGGAAGAAGGCCUUCGGGUUGUAAACCGCUUUUGUCAGGGAAGAAAUCUUCUGGACUAAUACUCUGGGAGGAUGACGGUACCUGAAGAAUAAGCACCGGCUAACUACGUGCCAGCCGCCGCAGUAAAAC